UUUUUACACUUAAUUGUUGGCGAGGGACUAUAUAAACUUGGUUUGGGGAGGUGAAUUGGUAUCCAGUCUCCAAUCUCAGUUUGAUUCCAAUUCUAGUAAAUUUUGUGGAAGAAGAAACUCAAAAUGAUGAAACUCGUCCUUGUCGUUCUUGCCCUCAUCGCCGUGGCAUCCGCCCAGCUUUUGUACACUUCCGGUGUGAGCGGCCCCAACUUUCACAACGCUUUCGCCUCCUCCGCCUCCACCGGAAUCCGACGAUACGGAUCCACCGCUGGAUUGGCCUACGCCGCUCCAGCUUACGCCGCUAUUCCAGCCUACUAUUAAAAUUUUGAUGGAAAUUUUUUUGUAAAUUCUGUAGAAAUUUGUUAAUUCAUUUUUAGUCAUUUGUUAAAUCUCAAGCUUUCCUGGAUUUUUGUAUCUUGUAAAUUUUUCACGAUUCUAUAUUUUUGCGUUUUAAUUUGUUGUCGAAAUAAAAUGACACUGCACUCUA